GAUGAACGCUGGCGGCGUGCCUAAUACAUGCAAGUCGAGCGAACGGACGAGAAGCUUGCUUCUCUGAUGUUAGCGGCGGACGGGUGAGUAACACGUGGAUAACCUACCUAUAAGACUGGGAUAACUUCGGGAAACCGUAGCUAAUACCGGAUAAUAUUUUGAACCGCAUGGUUCAAAAGUGAAAGACGGUCUUGCUGUCACUUAUAGAUGGAUCCGCGCUGCAUUAGCUAGUUGGUAAGGUAACGGCUUACCAAGGCAACGAUGCAUAGCCGACCUGAGAGGGUGAUCGGCCACCCUGGAACUGAGACCCGGUCCAGACUCCUACGGGAGGCAGCAGUAGGGAAUCUUCCGCAAUGGGCGAAAGCCUGACGGAGCAACGCCGCGUGAGUGAUGAAGGUCUUCGGAUCGUAAAACUCUGUUAUUAGGGAAGAACAUAUGUGUAAGUAACUGUGCACAUCUUGACGGUACCUAAUCAGAAAGCCACGGCUAACUACGUG
rnacentral:rRNA from 1 species